CUGGUGGAUUAGUGGCGAACGGGUGAGUAACACGUGAGUAACCUACCCUUGACUCUGGGAUAAGCCCGGGAAACUGGGUCUAAUACCGGAUAUGAGUCAUCACCGCAUGGUGGUGGUUUGAAAGAUUUAUCGGUCUUGGAUGGACUCGCGGCCUAUCAGCUUGUUGGUGAGGUAAUGGCUCACCAAGGCGACGACGGGUAGCCGGCCUGAGAGGGUGACCGGCCACACUGGGACUGAGACACGGCCCAGACUCCUACGGGAGGCAGCAGUGGGGAAUAUUGCACAAUGGGCGGAAGCCUGAUGCAGCGACGCCGCGUGAGGGAUGACGGCCUUCGGGUUGUAAACCUCUUUCAGUAGGGAAGAAGCGAAAGUGACGGUACCUGCAGAAGAAGCACCGGCUAACUACGUGCCAGCAGCCGCGGUAAUACGUAGGGUGCGAGCGUUAUCCGGAAUUAUUGGGCGUAAAGAGCUCGUAGGCGGUUUGUCGCGUCUGUCGUGAAAGU
rnacentral:rRNA from 1 species